CUGAGCGUCAAGCUCCUUGUCCUCUGCCCUAAAAGACCAGGAUUCUAUGGGCCUUGCUGGGCUCUUGCCUUCAAAAACCCAGGCCUCCUAAUUCUCCCCAGAAACAGCUGCAUUGGAGACCCCAAGUCUCGGGAGCACACCCCUGCUUCCUGCCCUGUGACUGGUCAGUCUUUAACCUGUGCCUUGGCGGGCGCUGGCUUUGCGGUGCUUCCUCUGCAGGGACUGACCUCGGACACCCAGCUUGUCAUUGCCCCGGGGGCGUCCUGGCUUUGGUUCUGUUAACACCUCAGUGCUGAGAAGGCACCUCAGCCCUGGCUUUCUCUCCCUGUCCCGUUCUCUCUCUUGGGCCCCCUGCCUCGAGGCCCAGAUUUUAUAUCUUUGCUCCCAUAAACCUCUGGUCCCUGAAGCUUUCCUCUCAACCUCAGCGGGUCCCCACCUCUCCGUCAAGUUCAGUCUUGGGAAAAUGCCAGGCAUGAUGGCUCGCACCUGUGGUUUCAGCUGUUCCGGAGGCCAAGGCAGGAUGAUAACUUGAGCCCAGGAGGUCAAGGGGUCAAGGCUGUAGUGAGCCAUGAUCCUGCCACUGCACUCCAACCUGGGGGAUAGAGUGAAAUCCCGUCUCUGAAAAAAUAAAUAAAUACAUACAUAAAAAACAUUUGCUGUCUCAUUUGAAGGUAAAUGGCAGGCAUGUCAACAGACCACUUACAGACCUUAGCAGCGUCUGCUAAGAAUAAAAGCUUUCUCCAAAAUCCCA
rnacentral:lncRNA from 10 species